GGGGAUGUAGCUCAGCUGGAAGAGCACCUGCUUUGCAAGCAGGGGGUCGUGGGUUCGAGUCCCAUCAUCUCCACUA
rnacentral:tRNA from 1 species